GGCGAGCGGCGAACGGGUGAGUAAAGUCUGGGGAUCUGCCCGAUGGAGGGGGAUAACUAUUGGAAACGAUAGCUAAUACCGCAUAAAGUCACUUAAGACCAAAGUAGGGGACUUCCGAGAGGAGGCCUUAUGCCGUCGGAUGAACCCAGAUAGGAUUAGCUAGUAGGUAGGGUAAUGGCCUACCUAGGUUACGAUCCUUAGCUGGUCUGAGAGGAUGAUCAGCCACACUGGAACUGAGACACGGUCCAGACUCCUACGGGAGGCAGCAGUGGGGAAUAUUGCACAAUGGGGGAAACCCUGAUGCAGCUAUACCGUGUGUGUGAAGAAGGCCUUAGGGUUGUAAAGCACUUUCAAUGAGAAAGAAUUUAAUGUUGCUAAUAUCAACGUUAAUUGACGUUACUCAUACAAGAAGCACCGGCUAACUCCGUGCCAGCAGCCGCGGUAAUACGGAGGGUGCAAGCGUUAAUCGGAAUUACUGGGCGUAAAGCGUACGUAGGUGGUUUGUUAAGUCAGGUGUGAAAUCCCUGAGCUUAACUUAGGAACUGCAUUUGAAACUAGCAAACUAGAGUUUCGUAGAGGGGGGUAGAAUUCCAGGUGUAGCGGUGAAAUGCGUAGAGAUCUGGAGGAAUACCGGUGGCGAAGGCGACCCCCUAGACGAAAACUGACACUCAGGUACGAAAGCAUGGGGAGCAAACAGGAUUAGAUACCCUGGUAGUCCAUGCCGUAAACGAUGUCGAUUUGAAGGUUGUGGACUUGAUCUAUGACUUUCGGAGCUAACGCGUUAAAUCGACCGCCUGGGGAGUACGACCGCAAGGUUAAAACUCAAAUGAAUUGACGGGGGCCCGCACAAGCGGUGGAGCAUGUGGUUUAAUUCGAUGCAACACGAAGAACCUUACCUACUCUUGACAUCCAAAGAAUCUUAUAGAAAUAUGAGAGUGCCUUCGGGAACUUUGAGACAGGUGCUGCAUGGCUGUCGUCAGCUCGUGUUGUGAAAUGUUGGGUUAAGUCCCGCAACGAGCGCAACCCUUAUCCUUUGUUGCCAACGAGUAAAGUCGGGAACUCAAAGGAGACUGCCGGUGAUAAACCGGAGGAAGGUGAGGAUGACGUCAAGUCAUCAUGGCCCUUAUGAGUAGGGCUACAAACGUGCUACAAUGGCGUAUACAAAGAGAAGCGUCCUCGCGAGAGCUAGCAAACCUCAAUAAAGUACGUCUUAGUCCGGAUUGGAGUCUGCAACUCGACUCCAUGAAGUCGGAAUCGCUAGUAAUCGUGGAUCAGAAUGUCACGGUGAAUACGUUCCCGGGCCUUGUACACACCGCCCGUCACACCAUGGAAGUGGGUUGCA
rnacentral:rRNA from 1 species